rnacentral:rRNA from 1 species
AGAUUGAACGCUGGCGGCAGGCCUAACACAUGCAAGUCGAGCGGUAGAGAGGUGCUUGCACCUCUUGAGAGCGGCGGACGGGUGAGUAAUGCCUAGGAAUCUGCCUAGUGGUGGGGGAUAACGUUCGGAAACGGACGCUAAUACCGCAUACGUCCUACGGGAGAAAGUGGGGGAUCUUCGGACCUCACGCUAUCAGAUGAGCCUAGGUCGGAUUAGCUAGUUGGUAGGUAAAGGCCUACCAAGGCUACGAUCCGUAACUGGUCUAGAGAGGAUGAUCAGUCACACUGGAACUGAGACACGGUCCAGACUCCGUACGGG